rnacentral:rRNA from 1 species
UUCGAGUGGCGGACGGGUGAGUAACGCGUGGGUAACCUGCCUUACACAGGGGGAUAACACCUGGAAACAGGUGCUAAUACCGCAUAAGCGCACAGGGCCGCAUGGCCCGGUGUGAAAAACUCCGGUGGUGUAAGAUGGACCCGCGUCUGAUUAGCUCGUUGGCGGGGUAGAGGCCCACCAAGGCGACGAUCAGUAGCCGGCCUGAGAGGGUGGACGGCCACAUUGGGACUGAGACACGGCCCAAACUCCUACGGAAGGCAGCAG